AAUAGAUACCCGGGUAGUCCACGCCGUAAACGAUGAGUGCUAAGUGUUAGGGGGUUUCCGCCCCUUAGUGCUGCAGCUAACGCAUUAAGCACUCCGCCUGGGGAGUACGGUCGCAAGACUGAAACUCAAAGGAAUUGACGGGGGCCCGCACAAGCGGUGGAGCAUGUGGUUUAAUUCGAAGCAACGCGAAGAACCUUACCAGGUCUUGACAUCCCAUUGACCACUAUGGAGACAUAGUUUUCCCUUCGGGGACAACGGUGACAGGUGGUGCAUGGUUGUCGUCAGCUCGUGUCGUGUAGAUGUUGGGUUAAGUCCGCAACGAGCGCAACCCUUGUUCUUAGUUGCCAUCUAUUUAGUUGGGCACUCUAAGGAGUACUGCCGGUGACGAAACCGGAGGAAGGUGGGGAUGACGUACAAAUACAUCAUCGUCCCCUUACUACGACCGUGGGUCUACACACGUGCUACAAGUGGACGGUACGAAACGGUUGCCGAACCCGCGAGGGGAGCUAAUCCGACUAAACCGUUCUCAGUUCGGAUUGUAGGCUGCAACUCGCCUACA
rnacentral:rRNA from 1 species